UAAGGAAUAUUGGUCAAUGCCCGGAAGGGUGAACCAGCCAUCCCGCGUGAGUGAAGAAGGCCUUCGGGUUGUAAAGCUCUUUCGGCGGGGACGAAACGGUUCGUGACAACACCACGGACUAAUGACGGUACCCGCAUAAGAAGCACCGGCUAACUACGUGCCAGCAGCCGCGGUAAUACGUAGGGUGCAGGCGUUAAUCGGAAUUACUGGGUUUAAAGGGUGCGUAGGCGGCUGUAUAAGUCAGUGGUGAAAGGCUGUGGCUUAACCAUGGGAUUGCCAUUGAUACUGUACGGCUUGAAUUAGGAUGAGGUUGGCGGAAUGUGACAUGUAGCGGUGAAAUGCUUAGAUAUGUCAUGGAACAUCGAUUGCGAAGGCAGCUGACUGGACCUUAAUUGACGCUGAGGCACGAAAGCGUGGGGAGCGAAACAGGAUUAGAUACCCACGUAGUCCCUGAGCGGGCUGGCAAGGCGCAU
rnacentral:rRNA from 1 species